AGAGUUUGAUCCUGGCUCAGGAUGAACGCUGGCGGCGUGCCUAACACAUGCAAGUCGAACGGGGUUAUUAUGGAAGAAGUCUUCGGACCGAUGAAAUGAUAACCUAGUGGCGGACGGGUGAGUAACGCGUGGGUAACCUGCCUUGUACUGGGGGACAACAGAUGGAAACGUCUGCUAAUACCGCAUAAGCGCACAGCUUCGCAUGAAGUGGUGUGAAAAACUCCGGUGGUACAAGAUGGACCCGCGUCUGAUUAGCUAGUUGGUGAGGUAAUGGCUCACCAAGGCGACGAUCAGUAGCCGACUUGAGAGAGUGAUCGGCCACAUUGGGACUGAGACACGGCCCAAACUCCUACGGGAGGCAGCAGUGGGGAAUAUUGCGCAAUGGGGGAAACCCUGACGCAGCAACGUCGCGUGAGUGAGGAAGUAUUUCGGUACGUAAAGCUCUAUCAGCAAGGAAGAAAAUGACGGUGCUUGACUAAGAAGCCCCGGCUAAAUACGUGCCAGCAGCCGCGGUAAUACGUAUGGGGCAAGCGUUAUCCGGAUUCACUGGGUGUAAAGGGAGCGUAGGCGGUUAAUUAAGUCAGAAGUGAAAGCCCGGGGCUCAACCCCGGGACUGCUUUUGAAACUAACUAACUAGAGUGCAGAAGAGGCGAGUGGAAUUCCUAGUGUAGCGGUGAAAUGCGUAGAUAUUAGGAGGAACACCAGAGGCGAAGGCGACUCGCUGGGCUGUAACUGACGCUGAGGCUCGAAGGCGUGGGGAGCAAACAGGAUUAGAUACCCUGGUAGUCCACGCAGUAAACGAUGA
rnacentral:rRNA from 1 species